rnacentral:rRNA from 1 species
ACUUGAAAGGUCUCUACCUAACCACGGAAGCCCUCGUAACUCUGUCCACGACGUACCGACAGCAGUCGAGCACAGCACUCUACAACCCAAUUCAGGGCAUUGCUCGCGUUGGGAACAGGAAUCAAUGGUCGUGCAUUACCACCCGUGAGAUUCCUCUGACGGCCACUGUUUGGCCUCCUUCCACCCCUACUGCAGUUCAGUAGUACGGGGAAUGCCGGACCCGAUGUGUGCACGAUGUUACCAGCCAUGUCUCCCAACGGUUCGGCGCUCCAGCUCGAUUAGGGUGUUUUGGCUAGCAUCAGGCCUAGCGUCAGACGUUGAGCUGACGCACUUCAGCCUUAGCGAUCAUUAGCGCUUAGUCUUACAGCGCCACUUAUGCAAGGGCCCGGAAC